AUUGCACGCUGGCGGCAUGCCUUACACAUGCAAGUCGAACGGCAGCACGGGAGCAAUCCUGGUGGCGAGUGGCGAACGGGUGAGUAAUACAUCGGAACGUGCCCAGUAGUGGGGGAUAGCCCGGCGAAAGCCGGAUUAAUACCGCAUACGCCCUGAGGGUGAGAGCGGGGGAUCGCGAGACCUCGCGCUAUUGGAGCGGCCGAAGUCGGAUUAGCUAGGUGGUGGGGUAAAGGCCUACCAAGGCUACGAUCCGUAGCUGGUCUGAGAGGACGACCAGCCACACUGGGACUGAGACACGGCCCAGAGUCCUACGGGAGGCAGCAGUGGGGAAUUUUGGACAAUGGGGGCAACCCUGAUCCAGCCAUGCCGCGUGCGGGAAGAAGGCCUUCGGGUUGUAAACCGCUUUUGUCAGGGAAGAAAUACUCUGGGUUAAUACCUCGGAGUGAUGACGGUACCUGAAGAAUAAGCACCGGCUAACUACGUGCCAGCCGCCGCCGUAAUAC
rnacentral:rRNA from 1 species